rnacentral:ncRNA from 2 species
UACGUAGGGUGCGAGCGUUAAUCGGAAUUACUGGGCGUAAAGCGUGCGCAGGCGGUCUGUUAAGACCGAUGUGAAAUCCCCGGGCUUAACCUGGGAACUGCAUUGGUGACUGGCAGGCUUUGAGUAUGGCAGAGGGGGGUAGAAUUCCACGUGUAGCAGUGAAAUGCGUAGAGAUGUGGAGGAAUACCGAUGGCGAAGGCAGCCCCCUGGGCCAAUACUGACGCUCAUGCACGAAAGCGUGGGGAGCAAACAGG